CAUGUGAAGGAGAAAUCCCAAAGUAUGCACUGACCAGGGGGCACGGAUGUGCCGGUUUGUCUUGGUCUGUACUGAUCGCAUGGGUAGAUUCAUUCGCUACCACCAGGCUCGAGAGUUUUUAUUUAUUUCUUUAUCCAAAGAAAAUAUGAAUAAGCCAUAAUGACCGAAUAUGUAUGAAAGAAUUGAUACCAAAGGUUCAAUUAUUAUUUUUAUUCUUUAUAAGUCAGUAUGCUUGUAUGAAUAUAAAUCAUUUCAACAAAAAAUCAUAUUUUUUCAAUUGCUGGAAUGCUAUAUGUUAUAUUGAUGGAUUUUCAAUAUGUAUGAUAUAUUUUUGUAGACUUUUCUUCUCUAAAAUGUUUUUGUAGAAACAUAUGUUGAGUAAAAUUGAAACAAUCGUCUAUUGUGACCCAAUAGGUUUCAGCACAUGAAAUACAUAGUAGAUAUUACUGAUAUAAAUAUUGUAUUAUGAUAAUAUACUUGCAAUUGUCCAAAAAGAGUAAAUAUGGGAAAAGCCUCCAGUUUUGAGUUUUAUUUGUAAUCGACACAAUGCGUAAACCAUUCGGUGUCAUACUACAAUGACACUUACAAUCCUAGACAAAUUUUCAAAGGUAUCUUGAUAUUAAAGUUAAUCAAUUGUAAAUGAUGGGGAAAUUUGUUAUAUCCGCCUUCGUUGAACUAAAGUUGGUUUGUCCAUUACACACAUUCUAUUUAUAGAUUCUUGAUCAUACAGGAGCAAUACAUAUUAUAUAAAGACAUUGGGCAAAACAAAUAUUAAUUAAAACGAGAUUGACAUUGAUUUUCAUCAAAUCAGUCAGAUUUUUGCCGCAAGAAAAAUAGAUAAAAAGAUAAAUCUGCAAGCAAUGAAAUCUUUAACUAUGACCUACCUACUUAUUAGCCUUGUUACGCUUCAUAUGGUGGCAGAAAUUGCUGGAAGACCUCGCAUGAACUGUUGCCUCAUCAGGAGAUGUCCAAGAGGAAGACUGUGUACCAAUAUUGGAUCCCGAUGCCGGUGCAAAAGCAAUCGUGUCAUUACGGCUUUUCUAUUGCUCAAGCGUCGGUCUUCGGAUAAUAGCAGAGAGGAUACAGGUUCGAUCCCUGGUUAAACAUAAAAAAACGACGAAUCUGGGAAAUCGGAAGUUUCUAGGAGCAAAAGUAAACAAAUAAUGUUAGGUGAAAAUUUCAGACUCUUAUCAGUCGAGUCUGUUCGUGAGAGAUGACGGACAAUGCAAUUUCUUUUGUGCCAGCUAGCAACGCCAUUUCUAUGCAAAUAAUUCUGCUUUUUAUACCUUGGAAUUCAAUACGAUAGAAAUAUAAACUAAUUUACAAACAGUUAAAAAGAAAAAGAGAAAGAUUUUACACUCAGAUAGGUUGCUAAAUCCCAAGUCCAGUUAAUCAGAAAGUUUAAUUUUUGCUUAUUGGAUUAAAACAUAAAAAUACAUUAAAAAACUCUUGUUUUGAACUAUAUCCUGUGAGUACAUAUGUUGAAAAAGUUGAAUGUCACAAGACUAGAAUUUUUAUGUAGAUAGGCAUCUUAAAUGGAAUAUCCAUAUAGAAAAGACAAGUUCAAAUAUUACUGUAAAAAACACUGCUUAAAAGGAAAUAAUAUUACCCCACUUUAUAAAAUGAAAACCAGCUAUUUAUUACAAUCAUCAUCAUUACGAGGGCUGUUCGAAAAGUAUCCGGAAAUGCUCCAUUUUUUUUCAUUUGUGUUCUCGCAUUAUUAUUAUUAUUAUUACUUUAAUUAUUAUUAUUGUGUGUUUUCUUAUUUUGAUGGGAGAGGGGAUGGUAUUAAAUCUGGUGGUCUAAAUUAAUUCUUGCAAAAUAUACAUCAAGUAAAAUUUAUUUUCGUAACUAAAAUGUAUAUUAUGUAAAACCCUAUCAGACUGAUGUAUCUAACAACUGGGAUCAUUCAUCUAUAUUGACACUGCAGACCCUUAAGAUAACACAACAUAUGAACAAUAAUUGCUCCGUCUUUUAGCAUAACAUUAAAUGAAUGGAAUAACGUAUUUCGUGAAAUUUAGUCAAAUAUAACGAAUACGUAUUUCACGACUCACACUGGGUGCCUGUUAGAAACUUUAAUGAAUAUCUUUGAUUUGCAAUAUAGUUUUGAAUUUUAUUGCCUUUUACUUGCAAAAUUUUUUUCUUUGUAAUUUUUGCAGACCUUUAAUGUUUAUUGAAGAACGUCACGUUGUUUAUAAAGAAAAAGGUUUAAAACUUUUGUUUUAUGAUUUGUCUAAAUACGUAUGCUAGAAAAAUAGACGAUCAAAUUGAUGACAUGACCACGGAUCAUUUAUUAGCAAUAUAACGAAUGAGACAAAUGAUGUAAUUUUACAAUAUGAUAUGGCUAAUUUAAAUAAAGGACACUUGAAGUUUCAGUUUCAUUUAGAUAAUACAAGAUCACAAUCCCUAGUUCUCCCAAGCCUAAACAUAUGUGAUUUGUAUAACCACAAUUAAUUUUUUAAAUGUGGAUCGUUAUUAUUCUUUUAAAUUACACUUAUAUGUGAUAUUGUGUUUGCUCAAAUGACAUUAACUAAGAAUGGCAAUAAACUUUUUUGUUGUUGAUAUUUUCCAUGGUAUGUAAAGUUAUUAAAACAGGAGAGAGUUUCACUCAAUCCUUUCACAUGUAUGAUUGUUUAUAUUAUUGUUUAUAUUACAUGUAUAUAUGUAUUAUAUAAGUAAAAAUGUUUUAACCAA